UACGUAGGGUGCAAGCGUUGUCCGGAAUUAUUGGGCGUAAAGAGCUCGUAGGCGGUGUGUCACGUCGGCCGUGAAAACCUGCAGCUUAACUGUGGGCGUGCGGUCGAUACGGGCAUCACUGGAGUUCGGCAGGGGAGACUGGAAUUCCUGGUGUAGCGGUGAAAUGCGCAGAUAUCAGGAGGAACACCGGUGGCGAAGGCGGGGUCUCUGGGGCCGAUACUGACGCUGAGGAGCGAAAAGCGUGGGGGAGCAAACAGG
rnacentral:rRNA from 1 species